GGAAAUCUUAUAAGUGGGGGAGGAUUGUAACACCGUGAAUUUUCUGUGUAUGUUUUAUUAAUUUUAUUUUAAGAACGAUUAAUUUUAGAAAUAAUUCAGUAUUGAAUUAGACUCAACCGUAGUUGAGUAUUAGUCUUUUUUUAUGAUUUCCUAUUUUUUGGUAAAUUUCCGUAAUUUUCUGUGAUGGAGAGUUUUUGAGCUGCUGUCGGGCCCAAAUUCGCCCGUAUGCGGCCCAAUAACGUGUUUUUGAGUUCUAUAACUCGGAAUCAAAUUUCGAUUGCGCCAUUGGCUUCGAAAUAUUAUUUCGAGUCAAGAUAGACACCAAGUUUGUUCAGAACACAUUUCUAAUUCUUUUUCACUUCGAAUUUCGUGUUUCAAAGUUGUAACCGUAAACCAAAAUCGGGAGAUUUUUAUUAUCCGAACGGGUAUUAGCCGACAAUACUCGGGAAUGGUUUAAUCGAGAAUGUGUCAUCGAAAAGGUCACAUCACUUUCAUGUAAGAAGCUUGCUUGUUAAACAAGCAAAAGUACAUAUUCUCUUACACAAAAUCCCCUAAAUCACUCAACAAAUCCUCUCACUCCACCACCAUUAGACACAUCACCUAUGCUAGUCUAAAUCUACUUACUUUGCAUUAAAUUUUCUGAUUUGAUGAGGGUGAGACUCUCCUAUAAAUACCUCACGUC
rnacentral:lncRNA from 1 species